ensembl:lncRNA
GAAAGAUGCAAGGAUGGAAAGUGUAAUUUAACAACUAGCUGCCUAUCGUAAUGCCGGCUUAUUAUUAUCAUGUUUGGUAACAUUUGCCGAUGUAUUUAUUUUCAGAGUUGCAAUGGGUUGUAAAAAUGUCUCAGAAAACUCUGCUGAAUUCCCUCAAUUGAAGGUCAGUCAGGACACAGAGGCCCAGCUGAAAACUAUUUUCCUGCAUUUUUGCAAGCCUAUACACAUGGAGAAUUUCGAAGAUAUUCUAAAACGGGUGGACAUCGAUUUUUCAGGAUACCCGUCAUUUACCCAGUUGCUACCGGGAAUAAUUGAUUUGGAUCAUCCAACAUUAGAUGAGAAAUCCAAGCGUACAGCCCCCCAGCAAGGAUACUUGAUGCAUUAUGGAUGAAAUAGACAGUAUUCUGCCAUUUUGUACAAACGUUUUUUCCAGAAUUCCAAACACUCCAAGAACCAUGGCUGUAACCGGUAGUUAUACACCCCCGGGAACCUCAAGCAAAUCGCUCCAUAAUCUAGCAUUUACGACGCAUCACAGUCCUUCACGACUCCGCACAACUGUGGUCCAAGUGCAUUGCGCAGAAUCACCCAGGCCCGAGAAGGGCUACUGGGCUGAA